AGUACAUAUAUGAAGAAAACAUACGAAAGUAAAUGAGGUUUGCAGCGGCAUGGGCACUGGCGAAAGAAUGACUAUUGUCGAGGGAUGUCUUUGCAGAUACCAGGAUAGGAUUUCUACAAUGUUACUAUUUUAGUAGCAUUUCUUCGUUUCGCAUCUACAUCACUGGUCUCCCAUAUACUUUUAAAAACGGACUGCCCUUGCAAGCCUUUUAUCAGCAUGCUCGGGACAGGAUACAAGACUGCUUCCUCAUAACCAUGUACAGGAAAUAUGGAUGGAUGGAUGGGCAUUAUUUGCAAAUAGUAAUGUGGAG